rnacentral:rRNA from 1 species
AUCGCAGGCUGCAACCCGCCUGCGUGAAGUCGGAAUCGCUAGUAAUCGCGGAUCAGCAUGCCGCGGUGAAUACGUUCCCGGGCCUUGCACACACCGCCCGUCACACCAUGAGAGUCGGGAACACCCGAAGUCCGUAGCCUAACAGCAAUGAGGGCGCGGCCGAAGGUGGGUUCGAUAAUUGGGGUGAAGUCGUAACAAGGUACC